ACAGACAUAGAUAUUAGUUUCUAGAGUAUGUCUGCAAAAUUUCAUGGACUUUGGUUGCUUAAUAUUCAAAUGAAAUUGGAACUACGAUUGUAUGAAACGAGUGAUACUUUAUUAAAUGGAUAUGAAUAAAGAUUAAGGACAAGAUAAGGUUCUCAACGAUUACCAAAACUACGAUUACUAUCUACUUAGGUACGCGACGAAAUUAUGACUAUAUUUUAGAUAAUUCUAUAUACAAUAUACAUAUAUACAACCUGAGAUUUACAAAAUUAUCUAACGUACUUAUAAAUAUUUACAACUAUCAUUUUCACUGCUUACAAUAGUCUUAGUUAAUGCAUAAAUACUUACAUUAUACUUAAUCAUUUUAUCUUAGCUACCUAAAUAUUUAGAAUUUGUUAAACUUGAGAUUUUUGUGAUUCUUGCAUUCCUAAUUUUACGUUAAUUCGAAA